AGUUAGAGGAGAGAGGGAGAGAGAGACUCUGCUUUUGGUGAGUCACAAAUGGCAGCAGUCUCCUUUUGCCGAAGCGUUAACCUCAUACCUACCCGCAUCGUCUCCAGAGGUGAAUUAAAUCAGCACGGGUCACCCACCGCAACCAGACCGUUGCUAUUUUCGAGGAGGAAUACGCUGAUCCGAUCAGAACUCAGGGAUCUUGAUCUCUAUUACGGGAGAAACAACGAAGCAAUCCAUGCCAGUCGGAGCUAUUCCUCCUCGCCGUCCGUGGUGGUGGCGUCGCCCGCGGUAACAUCCCUUGCGCUAUCCCCCAAGAGGUCGAAGAAGAACGUCUGCCUCUUCUUCUGCGAAGAGAUGAGGAACCUCGCGGAGCUUAUCGCCAUGGAAAGCGAUGCAAUCGAGCUAAGGAGCAUCGAUUGGAGGAACUUUGAAGAUGGAUUUCCCAACUUAUUCAUCUCUAAUGCUCAUGGAAUUCGUGGACAACAUGUUUCCUUUUUGGCCUCAUUUAGUUCUCCUGGGGUAAUAUUUGAGCAGUUAUCAAUCAUCUAUGCUCUACCAAGGUUGUUCGUCUCCUCAUUUACAGUAGUCCUUCCAUUCUUUCCUACGGGAUCUUACGAGCGUAUGGAAGAAGAAGGAGAUGUAGCAACAGCUUUCACUCUUGCUAGAAUCUUGUCAAACAUACCGAUUUCAAGGGGAGGACCAAGCAGUUUAGUGAUUUUUGAUAUCCAUGCUUUGCAGGAAAGGUUCUACUUUGGGGAUAAUGUACUGCCAUUCUUUGAGAGUGGGAUGCCUCUGCUUAAGAACAGACUUCAGCAGCUUCCAGAUUCUGACAAUGUCAGACAGCUUCCUGAGAAGAACAUUUUCGUCGGAUGGAGAAAACGAUCAGUGUGUGCCGAAUGGGAUUCAACUGCUAGAUGGAGUUGCUCAAUCGGCCGUCGGAUGGGAUGUUCGCACAACACUUUGGCUCGGUUGAGAUGUGUUCGCACAUCCUGGAGAAGACCGCCGAUGCGGACGGCGUGGAACUACUCAAUAAGGACAUUCACACGAAGAGGACAUGGUUGGGGUGAGGUAUUUGACGGAGGUUAGGGAGUGGUAGUUUUGAUGAGUGCAAGGGUUUUUAGAUGGUAGAAUAAUAAAUAGUGAAGUUUGGGUGUUGAUAGGUAAAUAGAGUAGUUUUAAGUGUUAGGUAUGUAAAAAACCCCUAGAAUUUAAUGAUUAAAGAUCAAUUGAUUUCACUCAUUGAGAUGCUCGUUUUGACUGUGAACAUAUUAAAUUCAUAAAUCAUUUGGUCCAAUAAAUAGUGUUAUAAUUUUCAAGUAUAUUUUAAGUUGUUGAUUUGGUUUUGGAUCAUAACACUUUUGGUGUUGUUGGGUUUAUUCCAUCAAACCAUUCGAUUUGACUUUAAAUUUGUUGAUAUCGGAGUUUGAACGGUCCUAUAGUUUAUUUCGAAAGUUUUCAAUUCAAUUGUAGUUGUUUUGAUCCUAUGUUUUUUUUUUUUGUAUUAUUUUAGAAAUGAUAAAAAUGCAUGUGAUACUAGUGCAUAUAUUUGAAGCUUAUCAUGUACUUCUAAAAUAUGUUUAAACUUCUCACAUCUAUAGUCUUUUAUUUUAAUUUCUAAAAGUUUAAAUUAAUUUAAGUUUAUGCAGGCUUUGAAAAUCUGCACUCGGUUCAUAUUUGAUUGCUUUUUGGGUCAAAUUUUUAUAAGGCAUUAGAUAUAAGCUCAGUUAUUACUCUGAGAUUUAGCCCUCUUACAAGAAUUUGUUGUAAGAUUUUCUACAUGCACAAGUCUUGUAUUUAAUUCUCUCUCUUAAUCAUGAUAGAGAAAAUUUGAGUAAAGCUACUCCAUAAAAUGUACCAUACUUGCUUUCAGCAGCAACAUUUUGGAUUGGGAAAGAAUAUACCACUAUUGAAUCAAAGGGGAUGGUGAAAGAGUGAUGAAAAACUUAAUCAAGUUCUUAUGAUUUUAUUGUUUCAUGUAGUCAUGGACAUUGUUGAACUUAUUCAAUAAAUAUAGUUAACCCAACCUACUUUUUUGGGCAAAUAUAUGUCACAUUAUCCAAGGGGAUUUUGUUAACAUGGGGUGAACGUAUGGACCUAAGGUGAAAGUGUGGAAAUCUUGAAACCAGCUCCUUAAUUCAUGCUGCUGCAAUUAAUUUAGGUGCAGACCGGUGGCCAACUUGCAACUACCCUGUUUUUGUUCCAACAUUCAUUAUGCAACCUCCAAUCAACUCCUGUAAUUCCAUAGUCUUCCUAGCAAGCUCCUACCCUAGUGUCUAUUCCAGCUCACUCCAACUUCUCAGCCAUCGAAUGGCAACCUCUUGCCUUCUGAAGGCCACCUGAUUAUCCCUCAGUUGCUCCUUACAUGCCAUUCACUUGCUUUACUUCCUAUCUCCUUCCAACUAUGCCUCCUUCCAUACAUGGCCAUAGCUACACCUCCCUCCACCUGCUAGACACUCCAUUCAUAAAAAGUUAUUGCCAACUUUUUCCUUUGAAAGAAGCUUUUCAUCUAGCUUAUAUGGAAUGUGAUUCUUUGCUACAUUCAUUAUAAAAUAUUAUGUUAAUAUCUUUCCUAGUUUUUUCCUUUUUAUUAAGCUGAUUAUGGCAUAAUUUUUUAUCAUUGUUUUCGUUCUAUUCUAGACUCAGAACAUAUACUAUAAAUCAUGUUUGUGCCUUUACUAUCAUUUGUAAAUAUGAAAAGUAUAGUAUUCUUCUCUCAUAUUUUUUUCAUUUGGCAAUAUUUCUAUUAUUCAUCUUUCUGUAUUUUCAGUCCUCUAUUACCUCUCUACCUUGCACAUUCUCUCAUAAUUCUAAGGCUUCCUAAAACAUGACAAUGGCCAAGAAAAACGUUCCUUGUUUGGUUAUGCCUCUUGCCAUGAAUCAAGAUCGCAUGAUAACUCUGGUAUCCAAGAAACUUUCACUAAGUCACUAAUUAUCUCAUUCAAACCAAAGCCUUCAACAUAAAAAAUUACUAUAAGUGCGGUUGCUAAAAAAGCGAUAUGAUCUUGAAUGCAUUUACUGUAAAAAAAAAAUAUAAACCCAUAAUCUUCAAUUGUAGACUCUAGAGUCUUUAAUCAUAUAACAGUGGAUGUCUGCUUAAUUUGUACCCUUCAUCCUUGUUUAAAAGACCAUAUAUUUAAAAUUAACAACGGAUCAACAUCACUAGUAAUUGUUAUUGGGAUUAUCAAUUUCACUAGCUCUUUAAUUCUUAACUCAAUACUCCUUGUUCCUAACUUUCCUGCAACAUUAUUAAUAAGUAAAAUUAUUUAGGAUAUAAAUGUUUUUCCUAUUUUUUUUCUACUUCUGAAUUUUAGGAUAAGAACUCAAGGAGUAUAAUUGGCAAUACUAAGAAAAAUAUUGGUCAUUUUUUUUUAAAUUAUGAAAGGAAUUUUGAAAGGCAAGAGAAAAUGUUCAUAUGCAUCUUUCUUUAACAUGCCACGAUUAUGUUGUACACUUUCAUCUUGGUCAUCAAAAUUUUAUAUAUCAUAAGAAAUUGUUCCUCAAACACUCAAGCUCCCUACCAUAAUCAUCUUUAUGAAGCCUCUCAACUUUCUACAACCAUUCAUAGUAAUAUUUGGGCCCAUCUCGAGUGAGGAAUAUUUUAGGUGCAAGAUGAUUUAUAUCUCUGUUAAUAAAAAAACUCGAAUCACUAGAUCUUUCUAAUAAAAAAUAAGUAAAAAACCUUUUCUAUUUUUUU